CCAAUAGCGUAUAUUAAAGUUGUUGCAGUUAAAAAGCUCGUAGUUGAAUUUCGGGGUCAGUAGGUUGGUCAUGCCACUGGUAUGUACUGAUCUUACUGAUUCCUCCUUCCUGAUGAACCGUAAUGCCAUUAAUUUGGUGUUGCGGGGAGACUGGACUGUUACUUUGAAAAAAUUAGAGUGUUUAAAGCAGGCUAACGCUUGAAUACAUUAGCAUGGAAUAAUGAAAUAGGACGUUCGAUCCUAUUUUGUUGGUUUCUAGGAUAGACGUAAUGAUUAAUAGGGAUAGUUGGGGGCAUUAGUAUUCAAUUGUCAGAGGUGAAAUUCUUGGAUUUAUUGAAGACUAACUACUGCGAAAGCAUUUGCCAAGGAUGUUUUCAUUAAUCAAGAACGAAAGUUAGGGGAUCGAAGACGAUCAGAUACCGUCGUAGUCUUAACCAUAAACUAUGCCGACUAGGGAUCGGAUGAUGUUAAUUUUUUAAUGACUCAUUCGGCGCCUUACG
rnacentral:rRNA from 1 species